CACGCCACUACAGCAGCAGCUAGCUGUGAAGUGGCGCUAGGUGAGGAUAACGACGUCACCCACAGUGUUAUUGACGACGUUGACAACGAUGAUGUCGAUGAUGGGGCUUUGGUACAGCUCCUACAUCUGCGCAUCAUGUUGGUGUGAAGACCUAUAAGAAAAUGUCAACAAAUCGGAUGGGGGGGCCCCAUACAUACCUUCGCCUUGGGCCCCCAAUUUGCAAAAUCUGCCACACACCGCUUCUCCUUCCCUGGACACCCGGUUCUUGGUCGCAAGCUAACGCUAGCUUCACUCUAGAGCUCCACCACCGGACCAUGCCGCCGCUAUACUCCGGAUGUUGUAAUGGAUGGACACCCUCAAACAAACUGGACUUGUCCACAGAUGCCAUCCUCCACACAGAGGCUCAGGUCGCAUGUUUUUCUACAACUUCACGUCCCCAAACUCCAUCCCUUCCCUCUGGUCCGCUCGCACUUCCGCCUUACGUCAUCACAACAGACAACACGUGAAUCUAGCCAAUCUCCGUCCUUUCCCUCGGUCCGCACUACCCAUCCCCACGCAAAGUCACCUGAAGCUGGCUCUGUUCAACACCCGCUCACUUAACAAUAAAAGUCACAUCCUCAGUGAAUUCAUAACAGACAAUAACCUGGACUUCCUCUGUCUCACUGAAACCUGGCACAAACCCCUGGAUUACUUCUCACUCAAUCAGACCACACCCCCUGGAUUCACCUAUGCUGACUAACCUCGUCCUGAGGGGCGGGGAGGGGGUGUUGCUGCUGUUUAUAGAAAGGACAUUAAAACAACCACCAUUUCCAUUCCUGCUGCUCAUUCAAUUCAAUUCAAUUCAG